CCUACGGGAGGCAGCAGUGAGGAAUAUUGGACAAUGGGCGAAAGCCUGAUCCAGCAAUGCCGCGUGAGUGAUGAAGGCCCUAGGGUUGUAAAGCUCUUUUACCCGGGAUGAUAAUGACAGUACCGGGAGAAUAAGCUCCGGCUAACUCCGUGCCAGCAGCCGCGGUAAUA
rnacentral:rRNA from 1 species